GGCCCUGCGAUAAAAGGGAAGGGGCUGGGCGGCGGGCGGCGCGUGUUGCGGCACUGGGGGGGAGCGUGGCUGGGAAGGAGGGAGGGAGCGAAGGAGCCGCCUCCCGCAGGAAUCCCGGGCAGGCGGCAGCAGCAGCAGCCGGAACGUGCGGCUCCCCCUGGCUGUGCGGUAGUGGGAGGCGGGUGAGCAUCGAGGAGCAGCCGCCGCCUCAUCCUGCGGCAGCGGCCGGCGCUGCCCGGGGAGCGCAGGUGGCAGUGUAGAAGCCAAGAACAAAAAUUGGCAGAAACUAUGUUCUGUGUACGAGAGAAUGAAGAGUAUACUCAUGACUAAGCACAGGAACCUGGAAAACCACAGCCUUUAGAAAUUAGUCCAUGGGUCUGCAUUCCAGGAUUCCUGGGAAGCCAUGGAGGAUGGGGUGAACUCAGAGCUGGAGCCUGAGGAGUUUUUGGAGCUUGUGAUUGGGAAAUUAUCCUGGCUUUGGUCAGGUGAUCUACAGUGACCGGUCAGCCCACCAAGAAGGUACCUCAGCAGCCAGGUGGUGUUGGACAAAUGAUGUGGAUCAUUCAGCCCAGAAACUAGUAGUUGCCCAUCAGUCGCUCAGUAGUCAGUGUAGAUUCUGUCUUUACAAUCAGCAGCUACAUCUGGCUACUGGGUCUCUGAUGACAUCUCAUAUCUUCCAUCUAGACUGGAUUUCAGCGUUCUCUAUUCAGUGCAGAGCAAGUUCACAGUGCUAACAAGCGAACAUCAGAGGUGUGGCCUCAAGUAAAGAAUUGGAUAUAUUGGAUGUUGGAUCUACUUUACAGUGGGAAUCAGAUUAAAUAUCUGGAUGUUUUAUAUUGGGAAGCAGAACUGUUUUCCAUAGCCUGUUUUGGGAGCUGUAGUUUAACUGCUAUCUAUAAAUUUCAACUAUAAAAUUGAUAGCACUUAGUCAGUGAAGAAUCUUCAGCCUACCCUAACCAAAGGGUAGGUGCUGGAAGAUAAUGUCUGAUUGUGUGGCUAUUACAUAUCAUGGGAGGAAAUAUACUGUGAACUGUGGACUGCGGUGCACACAGCUGCUGUUAAUCAGUUGUGUGGGAAGACUGUCCAGGUUUGGGGCAUGAACCUGGCAUACAAUGUAGAUUUCUGUGUUUGUUAAGCAACAGCUACAUUGUCUGCUGGGUUUCCAGCUGCCUGGAAAUACAAAGUGGAGGGUUGUCGACAAUUUUUUUUUGGUCAAGUUGCCUGUCUGCCAAUCUUAAAUAAGGAAAAUAAUGUGAUUGAGGUCUGUGGGCUUCCUCACUCCUUGUUCCAACUUAAGUGAUCCAGCUGGUGUCUGCAGAGCUGGCAGCCAGGGUGGAUCUGAAGCUAGUUAGGAGGAAGGUGGUACAAGAGUCCAAAGUGUUGCAGGCAUCGGAACUUGAGCAGCUCUCACGUGGAAGCUAAUGCAUGCUGCAUACAUAGCCAUUACCUUGCCUUGGUGAUGGUCUUGUUUUUCUUUAAACUUCAGAGAGAUCUGUGUGUGUGCUGUAUGGUUAGGAAAUCCUUUUGGAGAAGGGAGUACUGGGAGACUUCAGUAGGUAAUGCUAUGAUAGUUCUGAUAAAUGUAUUUUUAAAGGAGUGCUACACAUUGUAUGGCUUAUAAACAAAGUGCCUAGAAAUAAGUGGGGAGGAGUAAGCUAAUGUCUUGAGUUGCUGGCACCAGCUGGGUCUCUUAAGCUUCACCAAAACUAGGAUGUUUCACUUGUGUACUAAAUUUAGCUGAGCUGUGACAAAACAGGCGGUUUCAGUUUGAGAAAAUUAAGCCUGGAAUAGCAGGAGACUGUCCAUUCAGACUUGAACUGUGGCCAUAGUAGUGAAUGGGGAAGCUUGCUCAGCUUGAGCUUGUACAGCAUGUGGCUGUACUGUUAUCUCUUCAGUGUUGGUAUCAUAUGCACUUUGACCAUGGAUGUUGGAAGAGCUAUGACAUCCAAACAAUGAGGAAAUGUGUAGUUUUGUUAAGCCUGUGUUCUCUGAUUAUCUACAGGUUGUUACAGAUCAGCAGGCAUCCAGAACUUCAUUUGAAUAGCAUACUUAAAGAAGAAGGGUUCCUAAGUGUGUGCUUGUAUUUAAAAAUUUGCUUCUGUUUAAAAACAAAUAAAACUUCUAGCGGAAA